AAAAUUUCAGCUCUUCACUCCCUUCUCACUAGGAUUUGAGUUCAGGCCAGGCCGGGAAUAUUUCUACAUCUCUUCUGUGAUCCCCGAUAAUGGAAGGAGAUCCUGUCUAAAGCUUAAGGUCUUUGUGCGACCAGCAAACAGCUGUAUGAAAACUAUAGGUGUUCAUGAUCGUGUUUUCGAUGUUAACGACAAAGUAGAAAAUUCAUUAGAACCAGCAG